rnacentral:rRNA from 1 species
CAGUCGCCGCGGUAAUACGUAGGUGGCAAGCGUUGUCCGGAAUUAUUGGGCGUAAAGGGCUCGCAGGCGGUUUCUUAAGUCUGAUGUGAAAGCCCCCGGCUCAACCGGGGAGGGUCAUUGGAAACUGGGAAACUUGAGUGCAGAGGAGGAGAGUGGAAUUCCACGUGUAGCGGUGAAAUGCGUAGAGAUGUGGAGGAACACCAGUGGCGAAGGCGACUCUCUGGUCUGUAACUGACGCUGAGGAGCGAAAGCGUGGGGAGCGAACAGGAUUAGAUACCCCCGUAGUCCCUGUCUCUUAUAC